UGAAGGUGUACAGAACAUUCCAAUAAAGCUC
rnacentral:piRNA from 1 species